UCUUGCCCAAGAGUCCAUAUCGACGGCAUGGUUUGGCACCUCGAUGUCGGCUCGUCGCAUCCUGGGGCUGGAGUAGGUCCCAAGGGUUGGGCUGUUCGCCCAUUAAAGCGGUACGCGAGCUGGGUUUAGAACGUCGUGAGACAGUUCGGUCCCUAUCCGCUGCGCGCGUAGGAAAUUUGAGAGGAUCUGACCCUAGUACGAGAGGACCGGGUUGGACGAACCUCUGGUGUGCCAGUUGUUCUGCCAAGAGCACCGCUGGUUAGCUACGUUCGGGAUGGAUAACCGCUGAAAGCAUCUAAGCGGGAAGCCGGCCUCAAGAUGAGAUUUCCAUACCUUCGGGUGAGAGGCUCCCAGCCAGACUACUGGGUUGAUAGGCCGGAUGUGGAAGCGUGGUAACACGUGAAGCUGACCGGUACUAAUAAGCCGAUGAUUUGAUAAC
rnacentral:ncRNA from 1 species